rnacentral:rRNA from 1 species
UGUCCACAGGAUGGGCGGGAGGACCCGUUGAUUUUAAGUAUAUCAAUAAGUUGAGGAGAAGAUACUUACUAGGAUUCCCUUAGUAAUGGCGAGUGAAACAGGAUCUCUCUAGCAUGGGAGUCGGGCUGCUGUGCAGGCCGAAUUGUAGUCUGGAGAAGCGUCCCUCAUAACAGAUCGGGCCCAAGUCUCCUGGAAAGGGGCGCCGGGGCGGGUUAGAGCCCCAUUCGUCCUGAACUGUUUCGCAACACGGGGUGCUAUCACCGAGUCAGAUUGCUUGGAAAUGUAACCCCAAUUGGGCGAUAAAUUCAGUACAAGGCUAAAUAUGUACGAGAGACCGAUAAUAAACCAGUACAGUGGGGGAAAGAUGAAAAGAACUUUGAAAAGAGAGUCAAAGAGUGCUUGAAAUUGUCGAGAGGGAAGUGGAUGGGGGCUGGCAUUGCAUCCGGGUCUGAAGUGGGGAGGCUUAAUGCUUCUCCGCUGCUUGGCUCGCGACAUGGAUCAUUGCAGGCCUUACUGAUGGCUAGAUUACAGGCGAAAUAUGCUCGAAGAGGCACAAUUAGUACCGCCAAUGAAGCAU